rnacentral:rRNA from 1 species
UGGGGAAUUUUGGACAAUGGGCGCAAGCCUGAUCCAGCCAUGCCGCGUGUCUGAAGAAGGCCUUCGGGUUGUAAAGGACUUUUGUCAGGGAAGAAAAGGGCGGGGUUAAUACCCCUGUCUGAUGACGGUACCUGAAGAAUAAGCACCGGCUAACUACGUGCCAGCAGCCGCGGUAAUACGUAGGGUGCGAGCGUUAAUCGGAAUUACUGGGCGUAAAGCGGGCGCAGACGGUUACUUAAGCAGGAUGUG